rnacentral:sRNA from 1 species
UGCCUAACCCCCGUAGUUCUACUGCGAGGUAUGGCAUAAAAACUAUCCCUAGUAGAGAGCUCCUCGUCCAGAGCACUAGGGAUAGUCAUAGCUCGAAAGAGUUGUGGGUGACCGCAAGGUCAUC